UCUCAACAACGUUUUUUUCACAUCUACAAUCAGUUAUCUUCCAAAUGACCAAAGUGUUCCACUUUUGACUCCUCACACCCUGAGUAAGAGGAGAUUUCAAUUUAAUACAGCUUUCUUGGACAGAACAAUGGAGAGCAGGGGUGUCAAACUCCAGUCCUGGAGGGCCGCAGUCUCUGCUGGUAUUUCUGGUUUUCUUUCAAUCAGCAGCCAAUUAAGGCCAAGAGAACAAGCUCCUGAAUGAUGGCCUGUCGCGUCGCUGCGGCGCGAAGCCAUCGUUAUCCGUCCAGGUGCCUGGCAACCUCAGCGUUUCUUUGAGUGGCUCCUUGACAGAAGCUCAGGUGAGUGACAUCUCUGCCUCCGGAGCUCUCGGCUAGCCGCCGUGCGUCAGAGGGCCCGAGACUGACAGCUGUGCCCCCCUCGAGAGGAAGAGGAAGAGGAAGAUGA